UACAGAGGUCUCAAGCGUUUGUUCGGAUUCAUUGGGCGUAAAGGGUGCGUAGGCGGCGCGGUAAGUCGGGGUGUGAAAUCUUGGAGCUUAACUCCGAAACUGCAUUCGAUACUGCCGUGCUUGAGGACUGGAGAGGAGACUGGAAUUUACGGUGUAGCGGUGAAAUGCGUAGAUAUCGUAAGGAAGACCAGUGGCGAAGGCGGGUCUCUGGACAGUUCCUGACGCUGAGGCACGAAGGCCAGGGGGAGCAAACGGG
rnacentral:rRNA from 1 species